rnacentral:rRNA from 1 species
UACGUGGGGCGCAAGCGUUGUCCGGAAUUAUUGGGCGUAAAGAGCUCGUAGGCGGUUUGUCGCGUCUGGUGUGAAAACUCAAGGCUCAACCUUGAGCUUGCAUCGGGUACGGGCAGACUAGAGUGCGGUAGGGGUGACUGGAAUUCCUGGUGUAGCGGUGGAAUGCGCAGAUAUCAGGAGGAACACCGAUGGCGAAGGCAGGUCACUGGGCCGCAACUGACGCUGAGGAGCGAAAGCAUGGGGAGCGAACAGG